AUAGGCCGGCAGCUGCAGCUCUGAUUAGACCCCUAGCCUGGGAACCUCCAUAUACUGUGGGAGCAGCCCAAGAAAUGGCAAAAAGACAAAAACAAAAACAAAAAAGAAUAAAAUAAACUGUGCUACUUUCACAAAUGCAUUACUAGUUAGCACUAAAAAGACAAAAAUUACUAAUACUUGAGUUAGACUAGAAAAUAGGAUGGUAACAAAAAGGAAAGGAAAGCCAUAGCAAUUUUAUUUUGAUGGAAAACUAAAAUGACUCCUUAAGACUGAGAUGGGAGGAGAUUAAUUGCAAUUAGGCAUCAGGGGAUAGUCUAAAGUGAUGGAAAUAUUGUUUUUCCUUGGGUGAUACUAUUACAUGGGCAUGCACAUUUGAAAAAUUUAUACUCUACAAGUGGGUAUGUUUUAUUUCAUGUAAAGUAUACUGUACAAAGUUGAGUUUGGGAGUUGCCUUGUGACAUAGUACAUCAAGGAUUCUGCAUUAUCAUCGCAGCAGCUCAGGCUGCUGCGGUACAGGUUCGAUCCCUGGCCUGGGAACUUCCACUUGCCAUGGAAGCAGCCAAAAAAAAAAGAAAAAAGCUGACUUUUAAUAAAUUAAAAGAUGAUGAUGGUAGAUAGUAGCUUUCCUUAAAGGCUUUGGAAAAAUAAAUAUUGAGAAGUCUAUCAUUCUGACCAAAAUUUAUUAUUGUUUCUUAUUGUUAUUACUAAUUUUAGUGGAAAGUGAAAACUGUCUUCUUCAAUCUCUUCUAUGAUUGUUAGUCAUUUCAAUCCGUUUUUUGAUCUACCUGUGUCAGUUUGACUCACUUAUAUUUUCCUAGGGGACAAUGAUGAUGAUGGUAUUCAGAGGUAACUUUUAUAGCCCCCAAUAAAUGCCAGGUAGUGUUAUUUAUUUAAUCCUCAGAAUAACCUGAUUAGUAUUAUGUUAUUAUUUUCCACAUAUAGCAAACAAGGAAAUAAACACACAGAGAGUAAUAACUAAAUUGUUCAAGAGCAGCUAGCCAGAUGUUAGUGAAGGAGGUAAACCCAGGCAGUCUGGCUCAGGAAUUCAUAUUAAGAUUAAUUUUAUUAGUCAUAUCUUUAUAUUCCUUUUUACAUUUUCUCUACUUGACAUAUCAAAUACUAUGAGAGGCAUAUUAAAUAUUUUCCACAAAGAUUUUUAAAAACAAGUAAACCUUAUUUUUCAAGAACCCUUUGCACUAUGCACACUGCUGCUAUAUUGCCUAAUAUAUAAACAUUAUAUAUGUGUAUGUGUGUGUAUCUUACUACAUAUAGUGUAUUUAAUAUCUCUCUAUAUAAUAUCUAUCCAGCGAAUUGCAUCUUUAGGAGUAUAUAUGUAUAUAUAAUUGCAUCUUUAUACUACAGCAUCUUUAGGAAUCCUUUUAAAUGUGUUUCCAUCUCUUGAAUUUGAAUUCUAUUAAGCAUCCCUGGUUUCUGGUUUGCAUUUUCCCAUAUAUCCCUGCACAUUAACAAAAAUAUUUGCCACCUUGUUUUAAGUAUCUUUCUUGUAAUAAUCAUACAGUUGGCCUUUUAAAUACUAUUUUAUUCUGCUUUUGGAUAGGUUUGCUUAGUGGACUUGUGUUUAGAGUGGUAUCUGGCUUUUGUAUUGAAAUCUCUUCCUUCUCCGUUUGGCUGAAGCAGGGAGUCUGGAGCCUCCCUAUAUGCAUGUAUUCACCACAUACCCACAUGGUCUGGGAGACACUGAAACCAACAGUUCAGGUUCUCCCCAGUGCAGUGGAGCCAUAUCAUUCAGCAGGACUCCCAACAUUAGGCACAGACUGACAGGUGUAGAGCCCCUCUCACGGAAGUCCAUUACAAAGUUCCUUCAAUAGUGAAAUCAACUUCAGGAAAAUAAGAAACACUGCUUUUUUUUCCCCUCAAGGCUUUGAGGAGAAUUCCCUUUCAUAGUUGCAAUUUCCUCUGCACUCCUGUACCAAAGAGAGAGAGAGAGAGAGAGAGAGAGAGAGGAAAAAAAAAAUCCAGUGCCUUUCUUCUAAUACUUUUCAAUAGAAUAUAUAGGCUCCUCUCACCUGUCAACUCUUGGUAGGUCCCCCAAAUUUUAUAAGCUUCAAGCCCUGCAAAAUCUUGAUUUAUUUCUUUCCCUUGCAGGAAAAACAUCACUAUUAAUUCUCACUCAUAAACAAUUGCCUUACUGUGAAGAAAUCUCUAACGACAUUCUUUCUCUAAAUGAAUUAAAAGAAAGGUUGACAUGUAACACUUGAUUGAACUAAUACAAUUAUUUAAAGAUAUAUGAUAUGCCAACAUAGAGGUAUCAUCUUGUUGAUGUUAUUUUUUUUGUUUCCUUUCUUCUUUAUUCAGAUACUUUGAUUGGUAUGCACACCUGCUCUAAAUAAGCUUUGUUUAAAAUAUAUAUUUUAUUUUCCUCUGCCCACCAUAGACAAUUCUCCUAAUAUUACCAAGACAUCAAAAUGAAAACAAUUUUCUCUAAUUUCCUGAGUGCUUUCUCAGACAGUAACUCGAAAAUCUUGCUUAAUUUUUACAAUUCUAUGAGGUAGUUACUAUCACCUUUUCUUUAUUGGUACCUGCUUUUGGAAAGAUUAAACACCAUGCCAAUAUUACACAAAUAGUAAAAGGCCAAACGGGGAUUUGAACACAGGUCCAUUACCCCUAACAUCUGUCUCCUGAACUUCUCUGCCAGAAGUUAUUUGCCAUGUUCAUUGGCAUUUCAAAUGGAAGGCAAAAAUAACUGCUGUAAUUUUUAUGGUUAUCUCACUCUUAAAGACAUAAUGAAAUGUUUCUCGUGAACACAAUUCCUUAAGCUAUAAUCGCAGAAACUUUUACAAUUAAGUAGAUAGUUAAGACCUAUAUUAUUUAUGGAACUGUUUAUUUCUUAUAUAAAUGGCCUUAAUGUAAAUAUUUGUACCAACUCUCCACUGUGCUUUGAAAAGGAAAGAAGUGCUAAAUGGUUCCAGAUCUCUAAACUAUAUUCUUUCCCUUACCUUUUUCUCUUCCUUUUUGGUGAGAGAGAGGUAAGGAUUAGAGUGUUACGAAGAGAAAUUCAGUACACAUGUCACAUUUACUUUCCCUCAGGAUAAUGUACAUUGAGGAAAGGGUGAUAACAGUUUUCUUAGUCUUUUGCCCCAACACGAAUUUUUUUUUUCACUUUAUAUCACAUAUGUAUAAUUUUACAGAUAUACAGAAAUUCACUUCCCUCUUGGAAAAAGAGAUACAACAUUUUGCUUUGAAAUGUAUUGCUUUUCAAGGGGAUACUAGUGUCGGGGAAAUGCAUAUAUUCUCCUUCAACCACAAGUAAGAAAAGUAUACUCCAAUAAGUCAUUUAAAAUUUUUACACAAUGAUAAGUUACAACAGGGAGUACGGAAGACCUGGUAUCUUGUGACAUGAAUUGUUUUGCUUCAACCACAGAAGGACAUUGCAAAAUUGUUCUAUGGAACUGCCCGCCACCUGCUGCUUCCAACACUGAAUUUUAAUAAGCACCAAUUGCUCUGCAAGACUCACUAUUUUAGGAGGAUUAUUUACAGUGAGGCCCACUGUGAUCUUUCUAAAUUAUAGAGUAAAUUGCUUGGGCCUCAGUGAAAAUAAAUAUAUUUCAUUAAUGCAGCUCCUCUUCUAGUCUAAUCUUUUUAACUUUGAAGAUUUAGAGAUUUUCCAUACAUAAUAAUUGUGAUUGUAUCCUAUUUCCUAGAAACACUGAAGAGGUCACAGCACAUAAACUCUAAAAUCUAAAGUUUAGCUGCUUAAACACCUGUUGGGCUUUCCCAUUCUUGUCCUUCAUUUAUGAAAUAUACCGACUAUUGCAUUGAGGUUUUUUUUUUUUUAUCUUUUACUUAUUGAUUUAUUUUUUCUACUGUACAGCAUGGUGACCCAGUUACAUAUACAUGUAUACAUUCUUUUUUCUCACCUUACAUGUUACAUCGUAAGUGACUAGACAGAGUUCCCAGUGCUAUACAGCAGGAUCCCAUUGCUAAACCAUCCCGAAGGCAACGGUCUGCAUCUAUGAACCCCAAGCUCCCAGUCCCUCUCACUCCCUCCCCUUCCCCCUUGGCAACUAUAAGUCUAUUCUCCAAGUCCAUGAUUUUCUUUUCUGUCCAAAGUUUCCAUUCUGACAUAUAUUAAGUGAUAUCAUAUGGUAUUUGCAUUUCUCUUUCUGACUUACUUUAGUCAGUAUGAGAGUCUCUAGUUCCAUCCAUGUUGCUGCAAAUGGCAUUAUUUUGUUCUUUUUAUGGCUGAGUAGUAUUCCAUUGUGUACAUAUGCCACAUCUUCCUAAUUCAAUCAUCUGUUGGUGGACAUUUGGGUGAUUCCAUGUCUUGGCUAUUGUGAAUAGUGCUACAAUGAACAUGCGGGUACCUGUGUCUUUUUUUAGAAGAGUUUUGUCCGGAUAUAUGCCCAAGAGUGGGAUGGUUGGGUCAUAUGGUUUUUCUAUGCACAGUUUUCUAAGGUACCUCCAUACUGUUCUCCGUGGUGAUUGUACCAGCUUACAUUUCCACCAACAGUGCAGGAGGGUUCUCUUUUCUCCACACCCCCUCCAGCAUUUGUUAUUUGUGGACUUGUUAAUGAUGGCCCUAAUAUAGGAGCACCCAGAUACCUACAACAAAUGCUAACAGACAUAAAAGGAGAAAUUGAUGGAAAUAUAAUCAUAAUAGGAGAAUUUAACACCCCACUCACAACAAUGGACAGAUCCUCUAGACAGAAAAUCAAUAAAGCAACAGAGAUCCUAAAGGAAACUAUAGAAAAGUUAGACUUAAUUGACAUUUUCAGGACAUUACAUCAAAAAAAAAUAAGAAUAUACAUUUUUCUCAAGUGCACAUGAAAUAUUAUCAAGAAUUGAUCACAUAUUGGGGCACAAAGCUAACCUCAACAAAUUUAAGAGUAUGGAAGUUAUCUCAAGUAUCUUCUCUGACCACAAUGGCAUGAAACUAGAAAUCAACCACAGGAAAAGAAAUGAGAAAAAACCUACUACAUGGAGACUAAACAACAUGGUACUAAAAAACUCAUAGGUCAAUGAGGAAAUCAAGAAGUAAAUUAAAAAAUACCUGGAGACAAAUGAUAAUGAAGACACAACCACUCAAAAUCUAUGGGAUGCCACAAAAGCAAUGCUCAGAGGGCCUUCCUCAAAAAAGAAGACAAAUCUCAAAUUGACAACUUAGCCCACCACCUAAAUGAAUUAGAAAAAGAACAGGAGUUUCUGUCAUGGCUCAUUGGUUAACAAAUCGGACUAAGAACCAUGAGGUUGCGGGUACGAUCCCUGGCCUCACUCAGUGGGUUAAGGAUCCAGCAUUGCUGUGGGCUGUGGUGUAGGUUGCAGACACGGCUCAGAUCCUGCAUUGCUGUGGCUCUGGCAUAGGCUGGCAGGAACAGCUCCAAUUAGACCCCUAGCCUGGGAACCUCCAUAUGCCAUGGGUGC
rnacentral:lncRNA from 1 species